GACGAACGCUGGCGGCGUGCUUAACACAUGCAAGUCGAACGGAAAGGCCCUGCUUUUGUGUGGUGCUCGAGUGGCGAACGGGUGCGUAACACGUGAGUAACCUGCCCUUGACUUUGGGAUAACUUCAGGAAACUGGGGCUAAUACCGCAUAGGAGCUCCUGCUGCAUGGUGGGGGUUGGAAAGUUUCGGCGGUUGGGGAUGGACUCGCGGCUUAUCAGCUUGUUGGUGGGGUAGUGGCUUACCAAGGCUUUGACGGGUAGCCGGCCUGAGAGGGUGACCGGCCACAUUGGGACUGAGAUACGGCCCAGAAUCCUACGGGAGGCAGCAGUGGGGAAUAUUGCACAAUGGGCGGAAGCCUGAUGCAGCAACGCCGCGUGCGGGAUGACGGCCUUCGGGUUGUAAACCGCUUUCGCCUGUGACGAAGCGUGAGUGACGGUAAUGGGUAAAGAAGCACCGGCUAACUACGUG
rnacentral:rRNA from 1 species